GCCUACUUAGCUUGGAAGGUAGAGCGCCUGUCUUGUAAGCGGUAGGUCGCGAGUUCGAUUCCCGUCCGGGGCG
rnacentral:tRNA from 1 species